rnacentral:rRNA from 1 species
AUCAGAGGGGGAUAACAUCCGGAAACGGAUGCUAAAACCGCAUAGGUCUUCGAACCGCAUGGUUUGAAGAGGAAAAGAGGCGCAAGCUUCUGCUGAUGGAUGGACCCGCGGUGCAUUAGCUAGUUGGUGAGGUAACGGCUCACCAAGGCCAUGAUGCAUAGCCGACCUGAGAGGGUGAUCGGCCACAUUGGGACUGAGACACGGCCCAAACUCCUACGGGAGGCAGCAGUAGGGAAUCUUCCGCAAUGGACGCAAGUCUGACGGAGCAACGCCGCGUGAGUGAAGAAGGUUUUCGGAUCGU